GGGCUCGGUGCACAUGCUUUACAUGUGUUUAGUCGAGCCC
rnacentral:misc_RNA from 1 species